rnacentral:rRNA from 1 species
GCGGGGUGCUUACACAUGCAGUCGAGCGGUAAGGCCCUUCGGGGUACACGAGCGGCGAACGGGUGAGUAACACGUGAGCAACCUGCCCCUGACUCUGGGAUAAGCGGUGGAAACGCCGUCUAAUACCGGAUACGACCCGCCACCUCAUGGUGGAGGGUGGAAAGUUUUUCGGUCAGGGAUGGGCUCGCGGCCUAUCAGCUUGUUGGUGGGGUAACGGCCUACCAAGGCGAUUACGGGUAGCCGGCCUGAGAGGGCGACCGGCCACACUGGGACUGAGACACGGCCCAGACUCCUGCGGGAGGCAGCAGUGGGGAAUAUUGCGCAAUGGGCGAAAGCCUGACGCAGCGACGCCGCGUGGGGGAUGACGGCCUUCGGGUUGUAAACCUCUUUUACCACCAACGCAGGCUUCCAGUUCUCUGGAGGUUGACGGUAGGUGGGGAAUAAGGACCGGCUAACUACGUGCCAGCAGCCGCGGUAAUACGUAGGGUCCGAGCGUUGUCCGGAAUUAUUGGGCGUAAAGAGCUCGUAGGCGGCGUGUCGCGUCUGCUGUGAAAGACCGGGGCUUAACUCCGGUUCUGCAGUGGAUACGGGCAUGCUAGAGGUAGGUAGGGGAGACUGGAAUUCCUGGUGUAGCGGUGAAAUGCGCAGAUAUCACGAGGAACACCCGUGGCUAAAGCGGGUCUCUGGGCCUUAUCUGACGCUGAGGAGCCACAACAUGGUGAGCCAACACGAUUACAUGCACUGCUAAUACAUGCCGUAUACAUUGGGGUGUUCCUGUGGGAGACUUUCUACUUUUCUCCGCUCCG